rnacentral:lncRNA from 1 species
UUUUAAUGCGUAUGAAAGGAUAAAGGGAACGAAGCUUACAUGUCGGAGCAACUCUGGCGGUUCUUCAAGAUGUUGAUGUCGAUACAAAGAAGAUCCAAAGGCCUUCUACUUAUUCAGGUUAGCUUCGUUCUACUUUUCCGACUUGCGUAUGAAACUUCUUCUCUUCUUCUUCCCUCGUGUCCUAGUAUGUAGUUUGUGCUAUGGUUGUUGCUCUAUGUUGCAUGAGAGUGGGGAGGAUUCAGAGUGAAAUGAAGGUGUGUUGAAUUUGUAGAGAGGGAGAGAAAUAUCAGAUAAUUUGGAAUAGAUUGAGAAUGAUUGCAGGGAGAGUGAUUGUGAGUGAAGAUUAAUGUCAUUCUACAUUGUGAUUGUUGAUGAAUGAUUUUAUACAGAUGAUAAUGUAAUUGAUUCGGGUAGGAUUAGGGAAAGGUUUGUUUCACGUUAGGGCAACAAUUAGUAGUUAACUGAAUUUGUGAAGUUCAAUGAGAAAGUGUGUUAGUGAUGCUAACAAUGUUAAUGAUUUGUUAAUGUUAGUUGAAAUUAAGGUUAUGUCAGUAGGUUAUGUGGAAUUUAGAUGGGAUUGGUAUGUUUGAAUGAAUUGUGAGUUAGCCUGGACUUUAGAUGGCAUUUUGUUAGUUGAAGUUAGUCAUUUGUGUUGAUGUUAAAGAAAUGAAGUGAGGAAAGUUAGUAAAAUUGAAGUUAAGUAUGUUAAAUGUUGUGUGAUGUGUCUUGGUUUCUUUUUUGUAUGGUUAUGCAUGUGUAUACAACUGGUUAUGUGUUUUUAUGCAUGGGCAUUGAUGUAUGGUUUGAGUGUUAUGUUGAUGAGUUUGAACUAGGUAGUAGCUUGGCUUGUUGUAAUGUUUUGAAUUGAAUGAAGAAGUUUGUGAGUUCCUACUGUAUUGCAUCAGUUAGAUUAGAAAGAAUUUGAAAUGGUUAUUAUGUGAAUGCCUUACUGUUUUAAAAAAUGAAAUCGGUGUGUGGUUGCAAGUUUGGCAUAAAAUGGCUUGUUGUGAGGCAAAGCUCAUGAAGGUCUUGGCAUGAAACAAGACAUGGAGCAAGUCAUAGUUUAGUGAAGAAUUUUGAAGACUUGGUUGCACAAAGAAGGAAUGGCUUGUAAAUGAAGAAAAAUUGGGGACUAGGUCAUAGGAUUAGAUAGUUGACUUUGGUCAACUAUUUGACCAAAAAGUCAAUAGUUGACCAAAAGUCAACCCUAGGUCAAAACAUGUAAAAAUGUGUAAUAUUGUAAUUUGGAUUUUUCUAAUGUGAUUUGAUAUUUUGUAAUGAAAAUUGGCCCUUGAGUGGUAUAUGUGUGGC